GACGAACCGUGCAAACGUUGUUCGGAAUCACUGGGCUUAAAGGGCGCGUAGGCGGGCGGCCAAGUCAGAGGUGAAAGCCCACGGCUCAACCGUGGAAGUGCCCCUGAUACUGGUUGUCUUGAGGGAGAUAGGGGCGUGCGGAACUUCCGGUGGAGCGGUGAAAUGCGUAGAUAUCAAGAGGAACACCUGAGGUGAAGACGGGUUGCUGGGCUGACACUGACGCUGAGGCGCGAAAGCCAGGGGAGCAAACGGG
rnacentral:rRNA from 1 species